GAUUGGUUGGUUAGUAUAAGAACAGCAGAGUCCGCCAAUCAGAGUGAUAGUAAAGCGGGUCAUGCCUUCUUGGGCAGGGAAAAAAAUCGCCUGACCUCUUGUGACUUCAUAAUACUUUAACGUAGCAAAAUAUGGCCUUUAUUAAAUUCAUACACGAAGCGAACUAUACAAACAAAGACCUCGUUUUAGCAGAAGCGAUCUGUACUGUUGCUAAUUCGGUGCAGCUAGCUAGUUAGCUAGCAACUCGGGUAGUAAUGACAAGUUCAGCUGUUGCGCCGGUGCGCCACAACCCCCCGGCUGAGAGGAGGAUGCCUGCAGGGGGACAUAAUGAGAUGCUGCCUCCUCCUCGACUGCAACAAGUUCAGAGAGGCUGCAAGUGUCCACCCCCGGCCGCAAAGUCCCCGCCAUGAGACCAAGGGUGAUGUGCAACAUCCUAACGAUUUCCAUCACCCAACAACACCGGGACUGUAUGUUCAACAAAGGAGUGUAUUGUCCCUGCAAAUAAGGCUCAGAGGGAUCUCAUCAAGCCCAACUGGCACCACUGGGAGUGUUCAAGCAUGUUGGAAAACAAAGACAGUUGCUGUCAAAGGAAUUCACUGUUGUCCUCCAGCUACAGAAAUUCUCAGUCUUCACUCCUUCUUGAAAUCCUGUGGAUUGAUAGGGGGACCACUGAAUGACACAGACGACAAAACACGAUGGAAUCCCACCUCCGCCAGUAAGAUCCUCCUGAAGGCGUUGGCGAUGGCUGCAUCUAUUCCCACCAUGUCAAACUCCAUGCUGCUCUCGUCCAGAUUCACGACAUCGAUUCUGAAGUUCUGCAAACAGACAAGAGGUCUUCGUUUAACAGGAGCAGUGUCACACAGUCAAAAUUUUACCGUAAAUGGAAGAUGGACGACAUGACAGCGAAGCCAAAACAUCUAGAUCUCCCUAGAUCAAGUGUGUAAGAGUUAUCUUACUUCACUUUGGAAAAUGUGUCUGCACAAAAUACACAGCAGACUAUCUAAAAUGAACAAAUAAGUUAUCUAGAUCUUUAUUUUGAUUAAAUCAAUGUUUACUUAUGAUGAAAGAAUGUCCUCAUACCAUUUCGUAAAUUAUAUAUUUGGUUGGGAGAGACAUACAGAGAGUCGAGCAGGAAGGAGAGGACAAGGGAGGGAGUGAAAGAGCAACUGGAGUCCUAUAGAAGUCUCUUUUAGUAAUCCCAAUAUCUUCCAGUAUGCAUGGGAAGCAACGUGGAUACAAAGUCUGAGACAGUGACACACACACAACUUACAACACUCUACACUCACCGUGAGGCGUCAAUUCCAGGGCUACAAAAAACAACUGAAAAACUCACCUUUUGGAAUUUUUCCAAAUCCCACGUGUCAUCAUAGCCUGGAUAGUUUCCCGGGUAAUCCGUUGUAUGAACCUGAAAAAAAACAACAUAUAACCAUUGAACCAAUCAACGACGUUAUAAUAACAAAAGGUACUUGACAGCAACAGUUUGAUCUAACUCAGGUCCGUGUCUUGGACUGUUGACGGAAUUUAUAUACUGCUAAUAUAUGCGAUACAUUAUGAUGUAUGAUUAUAAUCGAGCUGUCCUGGUUUACACUGUCAUGUUGAUGGAGCAAUUGCUGAAACAGCUGCGGUAACUUGUUCAGCCGUUUGCACACAGUCAGUCCACAGGAGCCUGAAGGCAGCACCAGCUAGUUCCUGUGAUAAACAACAGUUGAGACACCAACUUACAUUUUUCACCCCAAAUUCUCCAAGAAUUACUCGAUUCCGAAUCUCUUCCACGUUCUUCGUGAUCGCAGCCAUUUUGUCGUGAAGUUGUUUAGGCUCCGCCC